UACGUAGGGUGCAGGCGUUAAUCGGAAUUACUGGGCGUAAAGCGUGCGCAGGCGGUCUUUUUAAGUCAGAUGUGAAAUCCCCGGGCUUAACCUGGGAACUGCGUUUGAAACUGGAAGGCUUGAGUGUGGCAGAGGGGGGGUGGAAUUCCACGUGUAGCAGUGAAAUGCGUAGAGAUGUGGAGGAACACCGAUGGACGAACGGCAGCCCCCUGGGCUAACACUGACGCUCAUGC
rnacentral:rRNA from 1 species